AAAGUCGUAACAAGGUUCUCUAGGUGAACCUGCGGAAGGGAUCAUUACACAAUAUCGCAAGCGGGCUGGGGAUCCCUGGGAGGGCGUCUAUUCUGCCGUUUCCGCCGCAUCUGCGGUGCUGAAGCGACCAGGGCGGGCGUCUUUUCGGCCAGCCUGACUCCAUAUUCACCCAUGGUCUUUGCGUACUCACUUGCUUUCCUUGGUGGGUUUCGCCCACCAACAGGACCAUUCAAACCUUUUUGGCAAUUUGCAAUCAGCGUCAGCAAAAUCAAUGUAAUAAAUUAC
rnacentral:misc_RNA from 1 species